UUCAGCAUUACCGUUAAAAGUAAUGUGCACUUUUCUCUUAGUAAGACGCCGUGAUCCAUUAGGAAUUUAUAUGUCGCCUUGCGCAUAUAGUCUGGUCGCCAAUAGAUUGGUAUAAAGUUCAUUGCUGCAAAUGCUUGUGUCUUUCAACGGCUCAAUAUAUUGCGCAGUGAGUGUGCCAUAAUCUGAUGUGACUGUCUGAUGGAUUUUAGAGACUGCUGUUACUAAUGCUUUGCAUUACUCAUUUCGAUGAGAGUUGACAUGGUCCGAUCGACGGCGGUAUUUCUUUGGGAUACCUUAUCCACACGUCUUGAAACACGAACUAAGGAGUCUAUCUAGUGUGCGAGUAAAUGGGCAUAUUAUAAACCUAUUUGCAUAAUAAACUUGACUGUUUAUGGGAUUACGAGUCGAUUAUGAUUCUUCCAUCCCGGGGUAUUUUCAUCAACAUAUGUGCGCAAGUAUAUAUGGAAAAUAUACCAUGAGCAGACUGGAUACGACCCGAAAGAUGGUGAACUAUGCCUGAUCAGGUUGAAGUCAGGGGAAACCCUGAUGGAGGACCGAAGCAGUUCUGACGUGCAAAUCG
rnacentral:rRNA from 1 species